UCAGACAAGGAAUUUGGUUUGACAUCUCCCUAGUUUGCUCGGCUGAACGAACAGGUCUAAAUGGGUGGUAAGCCCGAAAUGUCACCCAAAACAGAAUCCAUUCUGUGAUGGAAAUACUAAUAAAUUAUUCUUCAACUCUGUAAUGUAACACUGUAGAUAGAGCGAGAAACAUAGCACAAUCAAAUUCAUAUGUAAAACAACCUAUCGCCCUGGACGCCCGUUUACUAGGAAGAUAAGAAUCAAAAAGGAUUGAACUACUAACUCAUUACUCAGAGGUGAAUCAUAUAACACCAAAAGCUGUGGUAUCUUGUGGACCUAACCCUCACAACAUAAACUGAAAGAUGCAAACCCUUCUCUUCAAAGUGGAUCAAGAAAAUUUCUUUCUUAAUAACUCCCCCAUGUUGCCUUCGCUGAUCAAAAUGAGGUGCUCUGAAAAGCAAAUAACAGGGUUGCUAAGAUAAUAACACAAAACAAAAACCUCGGUACUGAGAAUAAAGUUUCACAGAUUCUAAAUUAAGAUUGCAAAUGGAAAUUAGGAACACAAAGGUAUAUAAAUAAGAACUAUGAUAUUAGAAACAGACCUUUUCAGAAGGGCAAAUUUGUAAUCUACAGCACAAACUCGGCAACAGAACAAAUAAUAAAUUAACCUCCACAGUUUGAACAGGUAGUGCAGGAAAGAAUAGAAAUAUUAACUCCGCUAUCAAAGAUGACAAACCCCCUUUAUCAUUUCAUUCCUCCAAACUAUUUUCCAUUAUCAGAUCAAGAGUACCUUUGAGCAAGAAUGCCCCAAAUGCACAAGCUCUUCUGCAACGCUCAUGAGGUUGAAGAACCCCCUACAUAAAAAACAAAACAUACCUUCUCUCAUCCCCCCAAAAUGUCUCGUGCGCUCAAGGAAGUCAAACAAAUGGGAGAAGCUAACCAGGUCACUAAUGCAACAGGGAUGAAUGAGAUCGUGGAAAAUAGAUGAAACUAAGAAACUUGAUAUAGCAUAUCAGCUGCAAACCCAACAUAGUAAUGUGUUAUUUCCAACAUGCUGGACUCCUAAAGAAUUUGUGGAAGCAAGAAAGCACCAUCAUGGAAAACACUUUCUUAAUCCCAGUUAAUCAUACUUUCAGUGUUUAGAACAAAGAUUGACAAAUUAUAAAUUAAUCUUGAAAAUGGCCAACUAUAAAUAUGGACAAACCCUUCUACAUGGGCAAAAUCAUAACCUGCAGCAGAAGUUACCGCCACAGCACAAACCAUAUAGUAACUUUCACCAUUCCCCAUAAACAGCUAGUAUAGGAAAAAGUAGUAUAAUAC
rnacentral:lncRNA from 1 species